UCCCAUGUGGUCUAGUGGUUAGAUUCCUGGCUUUCCCAGGCGGCCGGGUUCGAUUCCCGGCAUGGGAA
rnacentral:tRNA from 1 species